rnacentral:rRNA from 1 species
UACAGAGGGUGCGAGCGUUAAUCGGAAUUACUGGGCGUAAAGGGCCCGUAGGCGGCCAACUAAGUCGGAUGUGAAAUCCCCAGGCUCAACUUGGGAACUGCAUCCGAUACUGGAUGGCUUGAAUUCGGGAGAGGGAUGCAGAAUUCCAGGUGUAGCGGUGAAAUGCGUAGAUAUCUGGAGGAAUACCGGUGGCGAAGGCGGCAUCCUGGACCGACAUUGACGCUGAACGGCGAAAGCUAGGGGAGCAAACGGG